GCCUGGGUGGCUCAGCGGUUGAGCGACUGCCUUCGGCUCAGGGCGUGAUCCUGGAGACCCUGGAUCGAGUCCUGCCUCAGGCU
rnacentral:tRNA from 1 species